rnacentral:rRNA from 1 species
GAUGAACGCUGGCGGCGUGCCUAAUACAUGCAAGUCGAGCGAACGGACGAGAAGCUUGCUUCUCUGAUGUUAGCGGCGGACGGGUGAGUAACACGUGGAUAACCUACCUAUAAGACUGGGAUAACUUCGGGAAACCGGAGCUAAUACCGGAUAAUAUUUUGAACCGCAUGGUUCGAUAGUGAAAGACGGUCUUGCUAUCACUUAUAGAUGGAUCUGCGCUGCAUUAGCUAGUUGGUAAGGUAACGGCUUACCAAGGCAACGAUACAUAGCCGACCUGAGAGGGUGAUCGGCCACACUGGAACUGAGACACGGUCCAGACUCCUACGGGAGGCAGCAGUAGGGAAUCUUCCGCAAUGGGCGAAAGCCUGACGGAGCAACGCCGCGUGAGUGAUGAAGGUCUUCGGAUCGUAAAACUCUGUUAUUAGGGAAGAACAAAUGUGUAAGUAACUGUGCACAUCUUGACGGUACCUAAUCAGAAAGCCACGGCUAACUACGUG